rnacentral:rRNA from 1 species
UACGUAGGGUGCAAGCGUUGUCCGGAAUUAUUGGGCGUAAAGAACUCGUAGGCGGCUUGUCACGUCUGCUGUGAAAACUCGGGGCUCAACCCCGAGCCUGCAGUGGAUACGGGCUAGCUAGAGUGCGGUAGGGGAGACUGGAAUUCCUGGUGUAGCGGUGAAAUGCGCAGAUAUCAGGAGGAACAGCCGGUGGCGAAGGCGGGUCUCUGGACCGAUACUGACGCUGAGGAAGCGAAAGGCGUGGGGAGCGAACAGG